rnacentral:lncRNA from 1 species
CGGGCCUGACGGAAUUAAAGGAAUUAGGGAGCGGAAGCCUAAUGGCAGCCGGAAGGUGUCGUCUGUCACCGGAAAUGAACGGUGGCAAUAUUGGAAUAAAUAGAUCAAGUCAUUAGACGCCGGCGGUGGCGCAGACGCGUGUCAGGCAGCGCAGCGGCGUUCAGUACUGAACACGCUGCACGUGAACCCAAAACGGUGACAUCAUCUGUGAUAACGGACACAUGGACACAGACGAGGGGUUUCAGAGCCGUCUGUGUUUGUUGGGCUGUCUGGACUUGGCUGAACCGGGAUCUCAUGUGCAAUUCAUUUAGAUCUCAGGUGUCUGAAAUCCAACUCCUCUCCUCUCCCCUCCUCUCCUCUCCCCUCGUCUCCUCUCCCCUCGUCUCCUCUCCCCUUGUCUCCUCUCCCCUCGUCUCCUCUCGUCUCCUCUCCCCUUGUCUCCUCUCCCCUCGUCUCCUCUCGUCUCCUCUCCCCUUGUCUCCUCUCCCCUCGUGUCCUCUCCUCUCCUCUCCCCUCGUCUCCUCUCGUCUCCUCUCCCCUUGUCUCCUCUCCCCUCGUGUCCUCUCCUCUCCUCUCCCCUCUUCUCCUCUCCCCUCGUCUCCUCUCCCCUCGUCUCCUCUCCCCUUGUCUCCUCUCCCCUCGUUCCUCUCUCUCCUCUCCCCUCUCCUCUCCCUCGUCUCCUCUCGUCUCCUCUCCCCUUGUCUCCUCUCCCCUCGUGUCCUCUCCUCUCCUCUCCCCUCGUCUCCUCUCGUCUCCUCUCCCCUUGUCUCCUCUCCCCUCGUCUCCUCUCCUCUCCUCUCCUCUCCCCUCGUCUCCUCUCCCCUCGUCUCCUCUCCCCUCCUCUCCCCUCGUCUCUCUCGUCUCCUCUCCCCUUCCUCUCCCCUCGUCUCCUCUCGUCUCUCUCGUCUCCUCUCCCCUCUGUUCCCUCGCCUCCCCUCUCUCCUCUCGUCUCCUCUCCCCUCGUCUCCUCUCCCCUCGUCUCCUCUCGCCUCCUCUCCCCUCGUCUCCUCUCGUCUCCUCUCCCCUCGUCUCCUCUCCAGAUGUGAACUAUCACAUGCCCCAUCUGUCUCAUGCGCCUCAUCCCUCCAGCAGGACCGUCUCCC